CCGAUACCCACACACGUACAGAGGACGCACGUCCGACGUACAAGUAGUCCGUUGGCAGAAGACGCGCAGCGGCCGCUCGACACAGCGUCGUCGGUCGCGGUUGGUGGAGCAGUUACGGUUGGAAUCGAACGAAUCAGAAUACCCGUUGACGCUUCGGGGUACCUGUCGCACGUCGUCCGUUUUGCGUGCGGUGAGCAGGCCUCGGGCUUCGGCCCCCGGUCGGCGAAGGUCCAACGAACCGGGCGCGCGAAAGCGCGUUCGGUCGCCCCGUCGCAUUCUCAUUUUCACGUCGCACAGUUGCCGUACGGUCGCAGUUAACCAGUCAGGACAAGCCAAGAGUUACACAGAC
rnacentral:misc_RNA from 1 species